rnacentral:lncRNA from 1 species
AGUGGAUUGGAAUUUAGCAGAGUCGCCUCCUGAAUUAUUCGGCUGCACGGCGCGAUCAGUUCUGAAAUCGUGCCUAGUUGAUGCAUAGUUCUGUCAGGUUAAGUGUCUGCCUCUUAAUUACUACUACUCACUGUUGCUGUAUUCUAUUAGCACCAACUCUGCUGCCUGUGUAUUAUAUAUAUUAUUUUUGCUCAAGCACAAUAGCACUAGUGCUAUGUUGCUGCCUAUGACAGUCCAUGGACAAACUCUGUUAAUUUAUUCCGAGUGCCCAUAAUUCCCUCUCUAGCAGCACCACCUGUGCUCUUGUCUCACCCAUAACAACAAUUUACUAGUAGUAUGUCUCUUGGCUUGGGUGCUAGCUUAGGUCCCUUCUACUACUACUCCACAUAGUAACUUGUCUGUAUUCUAUUACUUUGUACCUGUGUGUGUGAGCUGUACUAUAUUCAUCUUCCUCAAGUACUACAACACUGGUAGUUGUACGCUAGCGACAGUCCAUCUAGUUUAUUAACUCCAAGUGAAGUGAAGUGAAGUGGGCAUAAUUCUCUAGAUGUGUUACAGAGUGCUAGUAUCUGUUUCCUUGCCUCACCCACACAAUGUAUUAAUAUGUAUGUCUCUUGGCGCGGUGCUAGGUCGGUUCUAUGUCUUCGAGAAGGCCCAUCGCCUCGACCCCACCUCCAGCGGCGCUGGAGUUCUCCUUGUCGGCCGACGACUACAGGCUCAUGGAGGAGGUCUGCUUCGGCGCCAAGAGAAAAUGUGUUGUGGAUCUGUCCAGCUGGUCUGUGUUAAGCUGGGACGAUCCAUCCAGUUAUAGCUUUUUAUAUUUUAUUACAGUGAAAAUGGCAGUACUAGCUUUAGUAGCAUCAAGGUUUAGGUUUCUUCUUUUACUGGAGUUACCAAUGGCUGACAGUUUUUUAUAUACUCAAUCCUGCAAUUUCUUUUAUAGAUUUUCAGCUUGAUCCACUGUUUUGGUUAGUGAUUUGCAUUACCCUUGCCGCUGCUCUGCUCUGUACAUACGUAACCUAGGACUCUUAUCUAUAUUAUUAUCAGGGGCACUCUUUGGUUGCUAUUCUACAAUUAUUAGUUUCACAAAACUGCUUGUAACUCCUCUGGAAGCACUGCAGUAUGCGGUCUCUAGGAUGGUUUUUCCUCACUGCAUAUGCUGCUGUGAUUUAAUUUGACUUGGUAACAAUGGCUGUCAAACAAUCAAACACAAGCAAAUUAAAUGCUUUCUAGUAUUCCAUAUAGUGCUUGCUAUGCAGUGUAUAGUUUUGAAUGGUUCAAUUAUACAGAGCUCUCCAUGCCCAAGAUGAGAAAUUCUCGCUAUCAAUCUGUUUGAUGCUAUCAUUUUCUUACCAUCAUAUUAUAUGUGCCGCUCAAUAUUCAACCUGCUUUAAUCUAUACUAGUAUUCAGUUUGUACCUCAUCUAGCACAUUGCCUAAAAUAGCCACUAUUCUUUCAAUGAAUUUAGUAGAAUUACCUUGUGAUUCCUCUAUUUGCUUCAUAUUAUGGUUGCUCUACUGCUAGUGUCUUACUAGCUUGUUCUGGCUCAUCGUGUUCCUGCUUGUAGUUGAUUUUUCAUGUGCCUAAGUAUAUGUGUAGUACACGUGCAAGCAAACAUUUGAACUCAAACCCAUCCAUCCUUUGUACUGUACUAUAUAGACUGAAGAAGUAAUGUAGAUGAAUAUACAUGCAGUUUUAUUAAGUGAAUGCCAGGCAAACAACUAACUUGCUCUUGUCCAUGUAGAUGGAGUAGGAGGAUGAGCAGCAGCAACAAAUGAGCCUGAUGGUGAAGAAGCACCUGAUGACCAGAACUCCUUCAAGUGCUCUUUAGUCGUUCCAAAACAAGGUCUUGAUGUCCCCCUCACAGAAAAUGUUCAUAUAUGUUCCUGCAUGAUGUGUGUGUGCAUGUUGGAUGGUCACAUUCUAGUGUACUAGCUAGCUAGUAAGCUUGUUUUGCUACCGGAUGAUUGAAUGUCAUCUCAGUUUGUACCUCAUCUAGCUCACCACCUCAAAUUGCCACUGUUUUGUUAGUGUUUCCUUAUUGGUUGGCUAAACAUAUUUGUUUGUUUGAUUUGGAGCAUUAGACGCUCUCCAUCGAUGAUUGCCUAAUUUUAUUCAUCGUCUCCACAAUAUAUUCAUUUGAUUGUCUGCUACAUCUGCACUUAAAUACUCAUAAUGCUUUUGUCCGGCCUUUGUUCAAUUGGACUGACCAUAUCUCUGGUUAAAAUUGUGGUCUUGAUCUUUUCUUUAAACCUGGGACAUCAUGCAUAACUAGCUCUUUCUUUUCAGUCUAAACCUGAGACCUUUUUUUGUUUUCAGUCACACUGCUGUUUUGUUGUGCUUGAUAAACCUGAGACUUCUUUCGAUUGUAAUAUCAAAGUUGUUUGGUUCUGGCCUCAGCAGUAGUGUACUAAUAUUGAAGUUGUUCACUCCUUUACAUGAGCUCCAGGCCUAAUUUUUU